GAGGAUCGUAACCUUUGCUUUGUAACGACGUGCUUUUCUCUCGAGUUUCUCCACUUUCUCCACAAUUUCUUUGAAGGGCAACCUCUAUAAUCAAAUGCUGUGUGAAUGUGGCCAUGUAAAGUAUGUGACAUCUCAUUACCUACAAGGUGUCCUGUUGGAGUGAUG